GGUGUGGCGCUGAGAGAGAGUUUAACAAAGAUAAAUCAACUGGUUAGGGAAAGGGCAGAGAGGGUGUCCUAGCAAAAUGAAUUAUAAGCUGAGGUCCAACGGAUGAGAAAUAGCUGGACAGAGGGGCCAAAGGAAGGGUGUUUAAGGAAGAGGAAAUGGCUUGUGCAAAGGUCCUGAGGCAGAGGGGAGUUGGAGUCUUCCUUCCGUCGUUCUCUUAGAAGCAGUAGAGUGUGGUAGGAAGGAACCAGAUUCUGGAUACAUCUCAUCAGGUUCAAAUCCCAUCCCUGCUACUCACCAACUGUGUGAAAGUCUUCAAGCGGCUUCACACCACUCUGCCUUCAGUGUUCCCAGAUGUAAAAUGGGUUGAUGAUCAUGAUGAGGAUAACGACAGUAGUAUCUACUUCACAGAGUUGUUGGGGGGGGAUGAAUUAGGCCAGAUGGUAAGCAUUCAGACAAUUAAGCAUUGUCUGACACGUGAUGAGGCUCAGGAAGUAUGAUCUGGGGCAGCCCUGACUUUGGAAUCUAAACAAAAGGGACUAAAAUUGAGAUGGACUGUGUGCAAGCAUGGUGACCUUGGCCUACUUACCCAACCUUGCUGAUCCUGCUUUCUCAAGCGUGAAGUGGGGACAGGAGCCUCUAACUCCGAAUUGCCUUGUGGUUAAGUAAGAUAGGUCACCCCCUGGCCCCUGCUGUUUCCAUCAUGAAUCUCAAAGAUUGCUUUUCCCCUCUGGUCGUAAAUGACCCAAGGAGAAGUUACAGCUCCAAGAACCAUGAAGAGAUGGCAUGAGGCAAACACCUAGAGAUGGGAUCACAUCACAAUUCGCUGCUGCCAACAACGAGAGCCCCGUUACGUCGGCCUGAAGUUGAAAAGUCCGUUCUCUCUGAAACCAGUUUCUGCAGAAUAUUAGCUUUACCCAAAAUGCUUCCACUGUCCAAGCCAGCCCCAUGGAGGGAAAACACGGGCUCAGGAGAAGGCCCACCCCGCCGCCCCGGCUCAGAAAUCUGCAUGCAGUGAAGAAACAGGGUAUCUGUCCCUCCACCCCAUUCCUGCUCCCGCUGUCGUUCAAAACUCGGUAAAUACUUGGUGCCAAUAACCGCUAGUCCCCCAGGCUCAGAUGACAUGUGUAAAUAUAUCUUCUCCAUGUGGUACCAAA